CCUACGGGAGGCAGCAGUGGGGAAUUUUGGACAAUGGGCGCAAGCCUGAUCCAGCAAUGCCGCGUGAGUGAAGAAGGCCUUCGGGUUGUAAAGCUCUUUUGUCAGGGAAGAAACGGUGGGAGCUAAUAUCUUCCACUAAUGACGGUACCUGAAGAAUAAGCACCGGCUAACUACGUGCCAGCAGCCGCGGUAAUACGUAGGGUGCAAGCGUUAAUCGGAAUUACUGGGCGUAAAGCGUGCGCAGGCGGUUUUGUAAGUCUGUCGUGAAAGCCCCGGGCUCAACCUGGGAAUUGCGAUGGAGACUGCAAGGCUUGAAUCUGGCAGAGGGGGGUAGAAUUCCACGUGUAGCAGUGAAAUGCGUAGAGAUGUGGAGGAACACCGAUGGCGAAGGCAGCCCCCUGGGUCAAGAUUGACGCUCAUGCACGAAAGCGUGGGGAGCAAACAGGAUUAGAUACCCUGGUAGUCCACGCCCUAAACGAUGUCUACUAGUUGUCGGGUUUUAAUUAACUUGGUAACGCAGCUAACGCGUGAAGUAGACCGCCUGGGGAGUACGGUCGCAAGAUUAAAACGUCAAAGGAAUUGACGG
rnacentral:rRNA from 1 species